rnacentral:rRNA from 1 species
AUGUGCGCCAUGGAAAACUGGGCAAAACCACGUACGUGGCACACGCCGCGUAGACGGACCCUUACACGGACCCGUGAACGGGCUGUACGUGGACACGGGAAAAAAGUGCCCGACGGCCGUCGUGGACGGAAGUGGACGCGCGCCAUGGAAAACUGGGCAAAACCACGUACGUGGCACACGCCGCGUACACGGACCCUUACACGGACCCGUGAACGGGCGGUACGUGGACACGGGAAAAAAGUGCCCGACGGCCGUCGUGGACGGAAGUUGACGCGCGCCAUGGAAAACUGGGCAAAACCACGUACGUGGCACACGCCGUGUACACGGACCCUUACACGGACCCGUGAACGGGCUGUACGUGGACACGGGAAAAAAGUGCCCGACGGCCGUCGUGAACGGAAGUUGACGCGCGCCAUGGAAAACUGGGCAAAACCACGUACGUGGCACACGCCGCGGAGACGGACCCUUACACGGACCCGUGAACGGGCUGUACGUGGACACGGGAAAAAAGUGCCCGACGGCCGUCGUGAACGGAAGUGGACGCGCGCCAUGGAAAACUGGGCAAAACCACGUACGUGGCACACGCCGCGUAGACGGACCCUUACACGGACCCGUGAACGGGCUGUACGUGGACACGGGAAAAAACUGGCCGACGGCCGUCGUGGACGGAAGUUGACGCGCGCCAUGGAAAACUGGGCAAAACCACGUACGUGGCACACGCCGCAGAGACAGACCCUUACACGGACCCGUGAACGGGCUGUACAUGGACACGGGAAAAAAGUGCCCGACGGCCGUCAUGAACGGAAGUUGACGCGCGCCAUGGAAAACUGGGCAAAACCAUGUACGUGGCACACGCCGCGUACACGGACCCGUACACGGACCCGUGAACGGGUACAAGAGGUCCGGGAAAAAAUGGCCCAUACACCACGCGAACCGGCUCAAAACCAGCUAAUGAUGGUCAACAAACGGUGCCAUGGCAGCGAAAACAUGUCUCAUGGCAAAAAAACGUUGCCACGGCAGCGUUUCAAAACAGUGUACUCCUCCUUCACAAACUAA